UCGGCCUACGGGACGCAGCAGUGGGGAAUAUUGCACAAUGGGGGAAACCCUGAUGCAGCGACGCCGCGUGAGUGAAGAAGUAUUUCGGUAUGUAAAGCUCUAUCAGCAGGGAAGAAAAUGACGGUACCUGACCAAGAAGCCCCGGCUAACUACGUGCCAGCAGCCGCGGUAAUACAUAGGGGGCAAGCGUUAUCCGGAAUUAUUGGGUGUAAAGGGAGCGUAGACGGAGGAGCAAGUCUGAUGUGA
rnacentral:rRNA from 1 species